rnacentral:rRNA from 1 species
UACGAAGGGUGCAAGCAUUACUCGGAAUUACUGGGCGUAAAGCGUGCGUAGGUGGUGGGUUAAGUCUGUCGUGAAAGCCCCGGGCUCAACCUGGGAAUGGCGAUGGAUACUGGCUCGCUAGAGUGCGGUAGAGGAGAGUGGAAUUCCCGGUGUAGCAGUGAAAUGCGUAGAGAUCGGGAGGAACAUCAGUUGCGAAGGCGGCUCUCUGGACCAGCACUGACACUGAGGCACGAAAGCGUGGGGAGCAAACAGG